UACGUAGGGAGCAAGCGUUGUCCGGAAUCAUUGGGCGUAAAGAGCUCGUAGGCGGUUUGUCGCGUCUGCCGUGAAAGUCCGGGGCUCAACUCCGGAUCUGCGGUGGGUACGGGCAGACUAGAGUGAUGUAGGGGAGACUGGAAUUCCUGGUGUAGCGGUGAAAUGCGCAGAUAUCAGGAGGAACACCGGUGGCGAAGGCGGGUCUCUGGGCCGAUACUGACGCUGAGGAGCGAAAGCGUGGGGAGCGAACAGG
rnacentral:rRNA from 1 species